rnacentral:lncRNA from 1 species
GUGAGCCAAGAUCGUGCCACUGCACUGCAGCCUGGGCAACAGAGCAAGACUCCGUCUCAAUAAUAAUAAUAAUAAUGAUACAGAUUAAUAAUAGGUGGAGACUUUUUAGAAUUGGAAUCUUAGACUUUUGGGAACUUCACAUCUCGAAGAGACCUUAAUGUUUCAGGGAUCCAGGGACCUUCAUGCAAGGUCCAUCCUGGAGGGCCUGGGUUUCUGGGAGGUGCCUCUAGAGGAUGGGGUAGGGAGUGCAGGAAGCAGGGUGCAAGUCUCCACCUUGAGGCCUGCUGAGCAGCUGCAUUUGGGUCUGGUUUAUAUAUUCAGCUUCUCUGCUUAGAGUAAUACAAGGGUUCUGUUACUUCCAAAGCUGAGUGAGG